UACUACACGCUUCUUUUUUUUUAUAGCAUAGCGAAUUUUAUACAGGAUACUGUAUCUUUUACUACAGCGUGACAUCUUGGGUAGAGUUGUUGUGUUAUCGUGUCCUUCAUUCCGUGACCGCCAGAUGGCGUGCGGUUCACAAGGCGAUAGGAAGCAGCGGGCUGAAAGAAAGGCAGUCUGGUUUCGGCUUAUAUUUUUGUCAAGCAUUGGGAAGUGGAGUUGGGAACAUCACUUUGCAACAGCACUCUCAGCUGUAAUGUCGUAAUGACCUUGGGUUUCUAGGGUCCGAUUCUGUUUUGAGCACUACAGCUCUAGAUGGUGAUUCAGUUGUUGUUAGCUCAUCAAACAACGCUCUUAAUGUGGCUGUGUGCAAUACUUUUGACGUAACCAGCAACGCAUCAACCAGUUCGAUCGUUAUAGUUUAAGAACACAUAUAUUCCGACACUGAAAAAGGAAUCGAAUUGGUCGAGUGGCACUAUCCCCCGCUUGUGAAUCAGGAUUAUGUUACAGAUGCAACCCUAAAUGAAGCUCUUUGUACUUCUUCUUACGAAAGAAAUUCUGUCAACUGGAUUGGAGAAUCAAUGGACUCACAACUCUUGUUUGACCAAUUAAAAUCACUUGGUAGCUGUCCUGGACCAAUAACACCAACAACCAAGCAACUUUACCUCCGACAGUUUUUUCGGUUGCGCAGAGAACAGGCUGCGCAUUUUCCCUCACCAAAGAGGCUUGGGUUAUCCAAAGAACUUCAGACUAUUUUGCUUAACUAUCCGGGGCUAGAAAACGAUAUAAAAAUAGCUACGCAUUUAGACCGAUUGUUGGUUACACAUUUCACCUGUCUUGACCCACUUAAACUAUGGAGAGAGGGUAAUAUACCAAAAUUACUAACAUAUUUUGAAAAAUGUAAUUCUGAAAUGUAUUUUUUUCUCCCUAUUUUGGGUGACUCGACCGAAUUGGUCUGGCAAAAAAAUCUUUUAAUUAUCUUCUGCUAGACCCGAGAGUCACGCACAAUCUACCACUCAACGAAACCCAGGACCAACAGAAAUUGUUCAAGCGUUUUGUAUCCAGUAUUUUUUACAUAGGAAAGGGAAAACAAACUAGGCCACACGAACAUCUUUAUGAGGCAAUUAAACUUCGGUCUCGACCACAGUCGUUUCUAAAUGUAAGCAAGAAAGUUAAGCGGAUAUUAGACAUCUGAAACGAUGGGUACGGCGUCAUUUCAAUUCACGUCUUUCAAAACUCUUUGCCA